UUCUCGACAAUGUCAAUGAUCAAGCCUCUGGGUCGAGUCUACACAGAGUAUUCAGCAAACACAGGCUAUUCAUUUGCCCGACCUAAUCAGAAAGUCAGACAAGUUGGCUCGUUGCGCGGCGGUCGUCGGUGCCAAAAGCCUAGGCGAUUUCUCUCUCUCUCUCUUUCUUUCUCGAAGCCGCAGAACGUCGACGGCCGGUUGAUGGAGGGGGCCCAGACACGACAGCUGUUUGCUCGCCAUGGAACGGACCAGAGGGGUCGCAUAUAUGUAAACCCGCCAGUAAUGCCACAUCGAUGGCGUUUCACGGGAGUGUUACAGCGCGAAAUUGUGACAUUUUCGAAUGAGAUUUACUCGGUCAGAUUUUCGCACAGAGUCUGAGAGUGCCGGCAGAAAGAAAGAAAAUCACCAGGCAAUACGUAGCGUUAUGUGAAAGUGAGACCUGCCAUCGCCAAGAAAAUCCGCCUCGUUACAAACGCCGGCAGACUCCGACUUGCUCUGACUCGAGUGCAACAGCACGGUCGGAAAAAGUGCGCGCGCACGUGACGACGCGUUUGUGUGUGUGUGUGUGUGGUUCGACUCCCGUGGACCCGUCCGUCGGUAAAUCCCUCAAGCUCGUUAUUUUGUCUUACGACCAGCAAUAUUUAACUGUAGUUCGAGUGUCUCUCUGUCUAGAAAAAGAAAAUGUCUUUUGCAAUAAUAAUAUUAAGAUCGAUAUCGAAAAUUACGACGUGAUGUCAUAAAUUAACAGCAAAAAGAAUGCAAAGUGAUUAAGUAGUUGUGUGAUCAUCGAUGAAUAAAUAUAAAAAGUGAAUAUAAAUCAAUCAAAUGUUAAAGAAAUAAAGAAGUUUUAAAGAGGCAUUGUACGCAUCGCGAUAUAACAUCAACAAGUAGAUGUUUUACUUCAAUUGAUUGAUGAUUCAAUCGGCAACAAUUCAAUCAAGUUUAAAAGGAUUAAAGGAACGCGCGAACACGACGACAGAAGAUAACGUUACGUUACACGUUUGUUUUCGAAAGUGCAAUUCAAUGUGUUUAUAAACGGUCCGACGGAAUGGAAUUUGCUCUGUGAUCAGCAGGUAGAUCUGCGUGCGUUUGCAUGGCAACUUUUCUCCUCUCUCGGAAAGCACGACGAGAAAACCUCAAUUCCGGUCAACUUGCCGCCUGGGUGGUAUUCGAACGGCAAACGGUGAACGUAGUCACGUGCGUCCUUGCGAGGUUGGCCUCCCAGUUGUGCACGAAGGCGUUGCAUAACCAUAAACGACUCGUUCAUAUAUACGUUCUUGUAGAUUUCAGAGAUUUUCUGUGACGAUGCAGCACUUAUUGCUCAACUUUUUAACUCGGGAUGGUAAUGUCGGAUUGCAGCCUGAUUUCUUCUGAUUUAUACGGACUUUUUUGCAUCCGGCAAGAAGAUUUCUACACUUUUUGCAAUUUCUUCCAAAACAAACGAGAUUUUCUUAGCGUUCAUUCUUAGCGUGACUAGAUUCGAACACGUCGGGAACAGAAAUUGAAUUGAAUAAAUUUGACAAAUGUAUGCAUAAAGUUUCUGUCGCAAAAAAUUGCGAGCACAAAGAACUCUUUACUGGAAAAGGAAGUAGAUGGUCGCUUGUCGGUAUUGCGAUAGAGGCACGGUAUUGCGGUUGUUCGAUAACGAGGACAAUGCCCUCAAAGGAUAAACAACCGUUUGUGAUGAAGUAGAAAAAUGAAAUUUUACAGCGUAGGUCUUGGACCGUAUUUAGGAAUACUCGGAGUUGACGUUUCUCAUAAAGAGAUCAAUCCAUCCAUCGUGAUAACAAUCGUGCGAUUCUCGUAGAAGUAUAGCACAAGAUGAAUGAGAUAGAAAAACACCAAAGGGAGAGAGAGGGAGAGAGAUGGCUGUUGUCAGAAUGAUUAAUGCUCGCUAAAGGAGGAAACAUCCAAUAGCUGCGGGUAUUUUUGUUUCCUUUUUGCCUUCGCACUUUCUUUUUUUCGAAUGGUAUAGUUGUACGUAUUUUUUUUUUAUUCAAAGUUUUAAAGAAUCGUUAUUCAACGGGUGACACGUUCCCUCAAAUGGAAACUAACAAUUUGCCAGGCUCCGUAAUUACCCUAUUAUCAUCCCGGUCGACCAGUGAUUCUCUCGUUAACUUCUAAUGAGCUUCAAUCUGUAUCGCAAACGGCCACUUUUGCCUCUUCCAAUCGAUUCGAACACGCUCGAACAUUCACGCUUUCGCGAAAAACCGACUGCAUUUAAGAUCCAUGAAAGAUACUUCGAUCAUCGCUUUGAGAAUAACAUCGCUAAUGAAUUUUCAGCGAGAGAAAGUUAAAUUUUCACGCGGAUUGUAUUUUUAGAUGCACAUUGUUUUCUGAGAACGUUACACGCGCUUAAGUUGGAGCCAAGUCUCGAGUGAAGAUCUUCGUUCGAAAUUCCGAUGUACAUAGAAAUAUCGAACGAACUCUUUUCGAGUGGACGGAAGCUUACGUUUAACUUUCGAUAGGGGUUGUUGGGAAGAAAUGCACUAUUAUGUCAAUGCUCCAAGUCGGUUAGAUUACAAACGAUCUUGUCAUUGAUCUUGAAGUACAUUUCGUUAUCAUCGAGAUCUUAACGACUAACGGACGACGGUAAUAAAUUUUAUAGGGCUGACAAAUUGUCGAGGAGGAAGAGACCGUGUUCGGUCCACUUCUUCAUAAUGGCCAAUUGUCGCGCGACGGAAUCGUGUGAGUGUAUAAAGUAAACAAUAAAACGUUUCGGAGGACAGCAGUCGCGUCGCGUCCGUCCGCGCGUUCGCAGCACGUUAUUUUAUCUUCGUGUUAAUUCCCUUUCAUCUGCUCUUCCGUUUCUCCGACACUUCAUGUAAAUAUUUAACAGUUUUCAUCGUCGCGAGAGAAUGACAAGUUGGCGAAAUAUUUUGUUAGCCAAAGCGAAAACACGAGUCGCGGAAUAAUUCACGAACUUAAGCGCGUUUGUUAAAAAAAAAAAAAAAAAAAAAAAACAUUUUUUAACGGAGUUUCUAAGGGGUGAAUCUGCAAUGUAAUAUAUGCGUAACAUUCUCGUCGUGCGCAGCGAGAGAUAAAGGAGAAAUGUGCCAUUGCAAAAAGAGGCAUUAGAAGUGACCGUAUUGAUGAUCUCUUUCAGCUUUACUCUCAAAGCCAAAGAAUUGGUUUACGGAUUUAUAAAGAAAAUCGCAAACUUGGAAAAAACUUGUGCAAAAGUUUGAUCCUAUCUACCAAAGAGAAGUGUUUAUAGAGUGGGGUUUUUUAGUGCUAUUAAUAAUUUAUAAAACGAAUAAAACGGACGGACACGUAAAGAGCAAAUACGUGAUCGUGUUGAGAGGUCUCGAAAAGAUUACAGAGAAAUCUCGGAGACAGGAAGUCGAGAUAUAUCGAGUAGAAUAGUCGAGCGAUCUCCAGAUGAAAUUUCGCAAAUCCUCCACAUCCUGCAGCCCGAAGAUGGAAUUACUCUUGAGACGUUCCUCGGGUAGUAGGAUGUCGACCCUAAAAAGAUCAAGGUCCUUCCGGGCGUCUGUGAAACUGAUGUCAAAGAUACGCAAUCACGCCAAUCUGCGACUGACCGCCGGUUAUGAUAUCUCACCUAUCUCGAAUGAUUUCGUCGCCAAGAAGGAAUAUAACAUCCACACCGUUGAAGAAACGUCAAACAGUAGAGUAGUUUCAGAUCCGUCUAAAGAUCUCGCGGAUAUAAACUUUCGUGACGGGAACAAAGUCGAUGGCGAAAUAUCUUCGAAUCCUCAUAAGAUUUCGGUGUUAGCUAACGAUGUGGAUCCACGUGAAAUCACGAAGGAUUUGAAGAGCAAACUGUCUCUGGCCGAUAGAAUAAUGGGUAAAAGUCGCAAAAACGCGGAUAAACAUUUGACGAAGGACGAAGAUGUGAAGUCGCCGAAAGUUCGCAUCUUCCGUAGAAAACAUAGCACGGAAAGUUCGCAGGAAGACACUCAGGGGAAGAACCGCAGUGACAAAUGCGCGUCCUACGAGAAUCCUAUGUUUGUGCUAGACAGUUCCUUGGACUCCUCCGUCUCGAGUUUUCUCUUCGAACCUGCAGAGGAGAAAGAGGAGCAGAAACAACAAGAUCACAAAGGAAAGGAGCACGCGGUGUCCUGCGAACAAGACGUUUUGACGGUCAUCGUGGGUUCCCAUAAAACCGCAAGUAACCGCAAGGCGAAUUACGAGGAAGACGAGGAAUGCUUUGAAAAUGAAGAGUCACAGAACGUAUUUCGUCCGAGAUGCGAGACGAGUCCUUGCCCUUGUGAAUUACGGAGCGAAGCUUCACAAUCAUCUGCGAUAAACCUGAGUCGAAGGACCGCUGAGUCUUUCAGCGGCUACGAUCGCUCAAGAGUGAACAUUUAUUGUAAAGUACACGAGGCGAGAAAAAGAAGCGUAACGAAUUAUCUGCAAGAUCAAAAGUUUCUCGACGCUGUCAAGACCUGUCCUUCGAAGUCCUGCGGAAUCAGAACGGUCGAUAAUAUUGCCAACUUCUGGACGAGCAGGCGGGGUAAUAGUUUUCGAAGUAAAAUGGCGAUCGGUAGGAAAAGAGACGCGAAGGAUCAUGAGCGAGUCGACCAGGAACGAGUUCUCGUGUCGACGUCAUCAAGAUCAAAGUUACACUCGUUGCAAGGGAUGGAGUUCCUGGAGGGAUUUGGCAAGAAGAAACAACAGCCCCAUCAACAACUGAAUAACCUAUCGUCAAUACAUAUCAAUCCUCUCUCCACUCAAUCCCUCAGCAUACACCAGCAUGCUUUAUUUGCGGCUGUAGAACAUGGCUACUUGGAUAAAGCGAGGACUAUUUUGGAGUCUACUGAUGUGAACGUAAAUAGCGUAAAUAACGACGGCUUGUCGCCGCUGGACGUUGCUGUGCUUAGCAACAACAGACCCCUGGCAAAAAUGCUUGUCGCAUUCGGCGCGCAGGAAGGAAACCGAUUUAAAUCUCCGGAAUCUCUCGGAAGUCACUUGGCAUCAUUGCUCUCGGAAGCAGAACACAGAGUUCAAGAACUCGGCGGGAGCACUUCCGGUAGUGGAACCAGUCUAUUGGAACCACCUGGCAGUCAUAGGGCUAGUUUUUCCGCGCAACAUAAUAACUUCACGGCAUGCGGUGGCAGCGCGGAAGACAAACAUCUUGCUCUAUGGGAAAGAAGAGCGCGCGCUCUUAGAAAAAUGUUGUUGGGUUUUGAUCAAGCGCGACCACCCGACAUGCCUUCCUUGGUCGAGGUAGACGUUACCGGAACGACUACGGUAACAGUCAGAUUUCAAGAACCGGACUCGCACGACUCCUCAAUCUGCACUAAGUUUAAAGUCCAGUGGAGUUUGCAAGACGACUUCUUGGUUAUCUGCGACGAGAAAGAAGUUCUAGACAUGAAACAGAGAGAAUGUCGGAUAGAGGGUCUGAUACAAGGGCAAAAAUAUUAUUUCCGCGCUGCCGCAGGAAAUUUGAAGGGAUACAGCAGAUUUAGAAAUUCGACGCCCGCACAUGUUACACCUAGCAGUUGGAGAGAUAUAGACGGCAGAGUACCGAGGUUCGCGGGACGAUUGGAACAACUAAAUACUCUAUUUACUGACAUAAGACGACCUGAAUAUACGCAAGAAACACCAGCGGUACAAAGGCGUAAUCACAAAAAGAAGACAGCAAUAAAACAGCUGUUCACGGCAACGAGUAAAUUUCAGAAAAAUCUCAGGCGAGGAGUAUUUCUCGCGUGUCUGCUCUAUCACGAGGAUAAGGUUCUAGUUACUAGCGAGGACUUUUUGCCUGUCAUUGAGAUCGACGAAACAUAUCCGAGUUGUAUCUACAAUGAUUUUCAUUGGCUCAUGAAAGUCGCUUGCACCUGGGACGAUGUCAAAUCUCUCCGACAGGAUAUGGAAAAGAGUUACAGCAGUUCAACCAAUCAUUUUAGGAUAAAGUUGCUUCAAGCUGCUGCUCAAAUGCAGGCGGCACUGAGCAUACAGGACCUUGGACAAUUGUACUACAAACCGAUCAGAGACAUUCAAGGCACUUUAGUAUUCUCAACGGUGAAUAACAUAAAGUCACCAAAACUGGUUUCUGUGCUAAACAGCAGGUGGCUGCCGCUCAGUAAAGUCAUAAAGAAGGUCAUAACACAUGAGGAUAGCAAUGUUGGCGACAUUCUUAUGGCCAGCAUACAAGAGCAAAUAACAUACCACGAGGUCAGCAGCAAAAAAUUGUCCAUGGGUUUAUACCUCGGUUAUCUCAAGAUGCAAAGUAGCGUGGAUCUUAUACAAGUCGUAGUUCCAGCAAAAUCUCCGAACGUAUUGCCACACUGGAAGAUUCGCGAUAAUCCUCAUGUAUCCGCGGAGGAGUGGGACUAUCUAAAGAGAGUAACACGAAUCUGUUCAUCGGAGUCCUCCGUGGAAUCCGAGGAAAAAGAGAACGUGACGAAUGAAGCACAAGGCACGGAACAGCAGAAACUGUUUGUUGAUCUAGUAGCCGCGACGGCUCGACGACUAUUCAAUUAUAUGGAGAUCACUGCGGAGGAUUCGCUGCUGCAUCGACUAUACGACGCAGAAGUGAUCGAUUUGACGCAUGACGUAUCGUUUCUAAUAGCCGUGCCGCCCGCAGAAACUGCUUGUUGCGUGCCUGGCACACGAGAGAUCCUAUUACAACGGGGUGAUCUUUUGUCGUUGCCUAUUCAAGUUUUCGAGAUGGUGCAUUUGAAUACGUAUCAAAAGGACGUGAUCAGUCGUUACUCGAGGCUCAGCUGUAUCCUAGAACUCGACACUGCACAGGCGCAGCAUAAUCACAGAGAAGCCUUCAGUUCCUUAGAGUUAAGUGUCGCGAAGGACAAGUUGGUGAGACUACAGGAUCUUCAGUCGCAAGUGAACACAGUGUGGAAAGGUGCCAGGUGGCUGAUUGAUGUUAUCACUUUUGCGAGAGAUCGUGGCUCGUCUCAAUUCAACGUCUCGUCGCAAACCGUUGGCAUAUCUAUGAAACAUCUGUUUAGUCUGGAUAGAAACAAAAAUAUUAAUAGCAACAGCUUGAAACGAAGCUUGUUGCAAUUACCGCCUAGAGAUCCUAAGCUCGUCAAAGCGAGUCCCGGCCGCGGCAGCUGGCCAGGUCCUAAUCUAUCGAAUACGUCUAAUCUUCUCACGACGGAAUUCAGCAAGAGUGAACAGCAGUUACUCAGCGGACAAUACAUUCGCAAAGGUAGUAACACAUCUAACGUGUCGACGAGUUCGGAGCCGCAGAAAUCAUCGGUCGUUCCGAUGAGCAGCAGCAGUAAUUUGACCACAGCGAGCAGUGCUAGUCAUCUAGUACCGCUGCAGAACACGCGGCUACCGCCGUCCAAAUCCGAGGAUACUCUCAUUCUCACCAAGUACAAACAAAGUCCGCGAAAUCGUUCGGCUCCGGUAACAUCGGCAUCGGCUAGCACUAGUCCGUUGCUAAGUAUAAAACCUAUUAUGUAUGGCGGUUCGCUCUUGAGCGUUUCUACAGCAAUGACAAACACUACGAGCAUGCUAAGCGUGAGUAACACGAACUCUGAUAGCUUGCACUCGUUAAGCAGCGAUGAAUACUCGACGCCAAAUUCAAGCGUUUGCUUGAAACCCGGUCAUUCAAUCAAAGUCAAAACGUCCAAACCAACAGCGAGCGUCGCAGCGAUGGCCACUGUGUCCCAAGACAACAUAGACGAAGAGAAGGACGAGGCGACAUUAAUGCCUGCACCUUUGCCAGGCAUUCUUCAGGGAACACAAGUCUAACCUGAUUAUUAUUAAAAACAAGUUGGUCUUCUCAAGUGAUGUAGUGGACAUAUUAAGUUUACGCGGCCUACGAGACUGGUUUAGCGGCUGGCACAAGUUUGAAGCUACACGUAACGCCAAGGACUACAGCGCGGGAAGUUGUG